GAAACCUUGUGCAUAUUUAAUAUGAGAAUAAGGAGAUACAGGAAAAGUAAUAUUAAACUAAUUUCAAAUUAACUUCACCGCUACUUCCCCACUAUAUAUAAUAUAUAUUAGUUAAUUUGCUUUUCUUGCCAAUUUCUUCAGAUUUGCCGUGAAAUGAGAGAGAGUUUGCAAGUUAGAGUUCCGCUUAUUCGAUGUAAAUAAAGAAAACGCUUUGGGAUUAUUGUAACACUGUAAUAUGCACGCUUUUUAUUAGAGAAAGUAAAUUGUGGAAUACUCUGAUAAGAUUUUAUUUUACAGGAACAUUAUAAAAGCUGGAUGUCAGUGGUUGCUGAGCAUUGGUUGUAUCAGUUCUCUUUUACUCCAGAAAUUGGCAGUACCCCAAGUCGUAAAGAAAAAGUGAAAGUGCCGUUUUCAUUUGGAGAUAGAGAUGGCAAGUUUUUGCUAAAAGAAGAAUUUACGAUAAUUAAUUGAUUGAUGAUAAAUAAGAAUGGAAUAGUGUUCAUUUUAAUGUAACUGAAAAAGCAAGUUGUCUGCCAUAGUUCGUUUCAUUUUGGAGGAUCUAAUUAAUUACGGAACAUUAAAAAAACCCUGGAUAGCAUUAAUUUACAGUGCCUUGGUUGUGUCAGUGUUCAUUCGAUUCAGAAAGUAGCUGUCUUAAAAAGAAGCACAAAAGUGCCGUUUUUCUACUGGGAACGCAUACAGUGUGGCAUUGCUGAAGGAAGGAUUUAUGAUGAAUGAACUGGUAAGUUAACCAUAUCAAUUAAAAAUAUUAAUCCUGGUCCCAGAAACUUCAAUUUCUUAGGCAUUUGUAACUCACUUUUAUCAAACAACUUUUAAACACGUUUUAGAAGUGGCAGAAGCAAAAUGUGGAACUGGCCUUUCCAUCAGUGGAAAAGUUAACUUCUAACUUUAACUCCACAUCUCCACAUUAAAAUAUUACUGAUUUACUUGCUUUAAAAGUUGUAAUUAACCACUUUUUUUGCCCGUUUCUAUAGAUUGUCCAAGUGAGAAGAAAUUACAGCUAAUUCUGAUGGUACUGAAAGAGCCGAUGCUUUUGACGUCUUACCCUUGCAACAUAUUUUUGAACCUGUGAGGGGGAGGCAAUUGGAAAUUAAUUUGGAAACAACUGAAACAACAACUUGUCUGAAGUGGUAUUCCUCCUGGAUUUGGCUUGUUCAUUCUACCUGUGCACCUUAGGAAGUUACUUUCUGCAGUUAAUUUAAUUAAGGUGAGAAUGCA